rnacentral:rRNA from 1 species
AUUGAACGCUGGCGGCAGGCCUAACACAUGCAAGUCGAGCGGUAGAGAGAUGCUUGCUUCUCUUGAGAGCGGCGGACGGGUGAGUAAUGCCUAGGAAUCUGCCUGGUAGUGGGGGAUAACGUUCGGAAACGGACGCUAAUACCGCAUACGUCCUACGGGAGAAAGCAGGGGACCUUCGGGCCUUGCGCUAUCAGAUGAGCCUAGGUCGGAUUAGCUAGUUGGUGGGGUAAUGGCUCACCAAGGCGACGAUCCGUAACUGGUCUGAGAGGAUGAUCAGUCACACUGGAACUGAGACACGGUCCAGACUCCUACGGGAGGCAGCAGUGGGGAAUAUUGGACAAUGGGCGAAAGCCUGAUCCAGCCAUGCCGCGUGUGUGAAGAAGGUCUUCGGAUUGUAAAGCACUUUAAGUUGGGAGGAAGGGCAGUAAAUUAAUACUUUGCUGUUUUGACGUUACCGACAGAAUAAGCACCGGCUAACUCUGUG